AGAUUAGCAUGGCCCCUGUGCAAGGAUGAUAUGCAAAUUCGUGAAGUGUUCCAUAUUUUU
rnacentral:snRNA from 1 species